CUAUCGGAUUGGUACUAAGCCAUGCGAGUCAUUGUAGCAAUACAAGGCGGACGGCUCAGUAACACGUAGUCAACCUAACUCGUGGACGUGGAUAACCUCGGGAAACUGAGAAUAAACCACGAUAGAUCAUAGUGCCUGGAAUGGCUUAUGGUCCAAACAGUUUACUGCCAUGGGAUGGGACUGCGGCCUAUCAGCUUGUUGGUGAGGUAAUGGCCCACCAAGGCGAUUACAGGUACGGGCUCUGAGAGGAGAAGCCCGGAGAUGGGUACUGAGACACGGACCCAGGCCCUAUGGGGCGCAGCAGGCGAGAAACCUUAGCAAUGUGCGAAAGCACGACUGGGUCAGUCCGAGUGAUUCCUGAUAAAGGAGUCUUUUGCUUGUCCUAAAAGCACAGGUGAAUAAGGGGUGGGCAAGUCUGGUGUCAGCCGCCGCGGUAAUACCAGCACCUCGAGUGGUCAGGACGUUUAUUGGGCCUAAAGCAUCCGUAGCCGGCUUUGCAAGUCUUCGGUUAAAUCCACCUGCUCAACAGAUGGGCCGCUGGAGAUACUACAGAGCUAGGGAGUGGGAGAGGCAGACGGUAUUCAGUGGGUAGGGGUAAAAUCCUCUGAUCCAUUGAGGACCACCAGUGGCG
rnacentral:rRNA from 1 species